UACGUAGGGUCCGAGCGUUGUCCGGAAUUAUUGGGCGUAAAGAGCUCGUAGGCGGCUCGUCGCGUCGACCGUGAAAACCCGCGGCUUAACUGCGGGCUUGCGGUUGAUACGGGCGGGCUAGAGUUCGGUAGGGGAGACUGGAAUUCCUGGUGUAGCGGUGAAAUGCGCAGAUAUCAGGAGGAACACCGGUGGCGAAGGCGGGUCUCUGGGCCGAUACUGACGCUGAGGCACGAAAGUGUGGGGAUCAAACAGG
rnacentral:rRNA from 1 species